AAAUAUUUUGUUUAUGAAAAUUCACAAAAUGAUAUUGUUCUCAGAGCAAGAGAGUAACACAUGGCGAUGUAUUGUUAAAGAUAAACUCUUCACUCCUCACAUAAAAAGCUAGCAAUCUAUAAAAUGCACUCCGAUGCUGCUGAAAAAACAGAAAAAUUAAAAUACUGGUCCAUUUUAAUGUAAACUUUCUAGUGCAUAUAUAUACAAUCCAAAUGUUUUCAGUUAUUAGGCCUGAACAGUAACACCAAGCCCAGACUUCACUGUUAGGACCUUUCUAACUUUCACUUUAAUUUCACUGCUCUGGUGCAGUAAAAUUCCUAAAGAAGAAGAAAAACCUGAAAAGGCAGGGGAGAGAAAGAAGUUAAAGGUUGCAGCAACAUUGAGUCAGCAGUUAAGGAUUACCAAAUACUAAAUCAUGCCUUCACCCUGAUGGCUGAAGACUACAAGCAACAACCUCUCUGAAGAUUGCAGACCAUAAAGCCAGAAGAACAUGUCCUACCAAUCCCAGCCUGCCAACAGGACAAGGAGGAUGACCUUCAUGUCUGACUCAGUGGAAUCUAUAGGCUUGUAUGGACAGCUAUCACUAUAAAGAAUGAACACAAAGAAAAGGCUUUGGGUCUGUCCACCUGCAAGACUGAGUUUUGGGUGCGUCCAACAAGACCUGACUCCAUUCCUCGUGGUCAGUCCAGCUGGCCACCAGACUGACCCAAGCAUCUUCAGAACUUGGUAAUACCUUAACCUUUGCAGGGCUGUCUAACUAUCUGUGUGUGUGCUUGUUUAUUUUGUAUGAAUGAACAAAAGAAUGAGUAUGUAUGAGAAUGAGUGAAGCAGAUAACCAUACUGUUCUUUAUUCUUUUUAUGUUGUAUGUUUUGUGUUCCAAUAAAUGUGGCAUUGUGCCUUA